rnacentral:tRNA from 1 species
UACAAAUUAGUGUGGAGAGCAUUAUGAAAUUUGGAUUCAUAGGGGGGGCGGUGCCUUAUUUGUGG